GCUUUUUUUGGACGAAAAGGUCAAUUCCUGCUUUGCUUUAAGUCUCUUGAACGCAUUCUGUUUUCCUGCUUUUGCUUUUUUGAUACUUUUCCUUAUUCUAUGUCAUUUAUCUCAACUUCAGGCCACUUUUACACCUGAGGUCAUGUCUCACCACCGUAGCAGUUGUCUCUCCAGAGACCUUCUGCUCUUCCAGACUGAAAGGGUUCCUGAACUCAGUGAUGUAGGUGUUGUGAUUCGGUGUCUUGGGCACGGAUCCCAUCUCAACAGGGCUGGUAUUCCCAGGAGCCAGGGAAGCCUGUGUCAGAGCCUGUACCCCUGGCACUCCAUGUUACCAGGGCCUGAUUCCCUCGACUGGGGGGACAGAGGAAGGAGCUCUUUGCCCUGGACAUCCCUGGUGUGAUGCUGUGACAGAGGAUGUUGGGAAGAACACGAGGAGCUAUCCCUGCCUGUGCUCUUCGGUGUAAGAGUUUUGUCCUGGCUUUGUCCUCACCCAGUUCAGGAUCAAGUUGGUGCAAGUAGGUGUUGCUGGGCACACAUCCUCUCUCAGUACAGCAAAACCCACUCUGCAAAAGUAAAUUUUGCCCCGUUUUAAGCUUAGGAAGCGUUUUUCUGGCAACGCAGACAAGCUCUCACCAAGAAAUGGGAGGUCCUGGUGCCAUGUUCUGGUUGAAAAAUCAACAUUUUACCGUUUUACAAUUUAUGACUAAGACAGACCAUUACAACCACCUACUGCAUGUUGCUCUCUUCAAAGGCCAAAUAAUUUCCCCCAAGGAAUCCCUGUUUGGGUCCGUGGCCCUUUCAGCUCUGAUCUUUUGCAGAAAAGGCAGCAAACCCGGGGUGAGAAGUUGGGGUGGUGCAAAUGAGGGCCUCUCUUUUGUCUUCAUGCCAUUAGAUCUCAUUAUAUCUUUUUUAUUGGUUUAGGUUUGUUACACUGAUGUCUUCUCAUAGAAAUCUUUAUCACAUGUAAGUAUUUGGCAACCGAGAGUCACACCUCAGUGGGUUGGGGUUUUUUUUUAAGUGCACAAGCUAAACCGAGUUUCUUUGGUCUUUCCCUGUAAGGAGGGUUUUCAGACUUCCACGUUUAUCCAAAAUCCUCUAUACAACUUGCUUUUUAAAGUAUGGACACUGAAAUUGUGAACAGUCCUUUAAUUAAUUUACAGUGUUACACUUCUCUGCCUUCAUUCAGUUGUCUUCUGUUUAUGCAUUCAUAUUAUUUAUGCCCAGUUCCUCUCUGGGCCACUGUCUGAAACUGGGAAUAGAUACAGUGACCUGUAAAUCCGUUUUAAAGCCACUGCUUUCCAAAAUGCAGCCCCUGCUCUUCAAGUUGAGAUGUGCAGCCCUGAUUCCUUCAGACAGCUGUCUUAAAACCAGCAAUCUGAGCGACUACAUUUGCUGCACUGUGCAGAGUGCCCUGUAAAAGUAAUUUGUCAAUAUUUAUGAAACAUGGCAAUAGGAAAAGACUCCCAGCUUCCAACCACCAGCAACGACACCUUCUGAAUUUUCAGACCUUCACGCUUGCAGGUGAGGAAAGGUCAGACAAAAAUGAGACCUCAGAUUCUUUAGAGUGGUCUUGCUAGUGGAAAUGGAAAUGGAGAGCUAUGUCUUGUGGUAGAUGUGACCAAAGCGAACCCGAAACUGCAGUCUGGCUGAGUUACCUUCUUUGUACAAGUUUGACAUGGCUGCAGGCAAACAGAUUACAGAUCAUAUAGUUUUAAGCACCAGGGAUAAGGAAAUCACAACACACCGGCUGCAAAAGUCAGAUUCAGAAUUAAUCAGCCUGUUGAUAUGUGUCAUAGCAAGGAAUGGGGCCAGAACAAGCUACAAAAGAUGAAAACCUUGGAAAACAUGGAAGGUGCACACCAUGGACAAUAAAUAGGAGCAGCACCUGAAAUAGAAGCAGUAGUCUGCAAA